rnacentral:rRNA from 1 species
GAUGAACGCUGGCGGCGUGCCUAAUACAUGCAAGUAGAACGCUGAAGGAGGAGCUUGCUCUUCUGGAUGAGUUGCGAACGGGUGAGUAACGCGUAGGUAACCUGCCUGGUAGCGGGGGAUAACUAUUGGAAACGAUAGCUAAUACCGCAUGACAACAGUUAUUGCAUGAUAACUGUUUAAAAGGGGCAACUGCUCCACUACCAGAUGGACCUGCGUUGUAUUAGCUAGUUGGUGAGGUAACGGCUCACCAAGGCGACGAUACAUAGCCGACCUGAGAGGGUGAUCGGCCACACUGGGACUGAGACACGGCCCAGACUCCUACGGGAGGCAGCAGUAGGGAAUCUUCAGCAAUGGACGGAAGUCUGACCGAGCAACGCCGCGUGAGUGAAGAAGGUUUUCGGAUCGUAAAGCUCUGUUGUAAGAGAAGAACGAGUGUGAGAGUGGAAAGUUCACACUGUGACGGUAUCUUACCAGAAAGGGACGGCUAACUACGUG